rnacentral:lncRNA from 1 species
CUCGCAGAUGUAGAGGGACAUUGGGCCGAGGUUGACGAUGUGCUUACUCGACUUGCCCAUAAGCAAGGAGGGGCAUCGGAUUGAGGUCGAUGGUGAUCCUCCUCACAGAUGUAGAAAGAUGUUGAGCUGAGGUCGACGAUGCACUCGCUCGACUUGCCCAUAGGCAAGGAGGGGUAUCAGACUAAGGUUGAUGAUGAUCCUCUAUUGUCCUCCUCACGGAUGUAAAGAGAUGUUAGGCCGAGGUUGACGAUGCGCUCCC